GAGUCCAGGGUUUUUGUCACACACACACACAGCACAGAUUUUUUUGAUUAUGUAGAUUUCUUUUCCUACUGCAGUUUCAUAUGCAAAGCAUGCAUCAGCCACAUCCAUGCUAUCUCCUAAAGCAGUCAUUCUGAAACCCAAUCUGGGGACAGUGCAGACUAAAUAAAAUUUCAUUUUGAUUUGGCCUCCCGCUGCGAAUGGGACUGCUUUGUCUCAGCCGACAGAACCAGCAAGCCAGAAAGGGAAUGAAGACAUUUGGAGAAGAAGCGUUUACUGAAAGGAGAUUCCUGGGCUGGAGGAAAACCAUGAUCUACAGUUCAUGUUGACAGAUAUUGUAUUUUUGGUCCUAGAUCUGACUUUUGAAAUGACUUAUCACAAAUUCAAAUUUAGCAAUCAUGAGUGAAGUACCCACGAUGUGCUAAGCAUCUACCUCUGCAGAUAGAAGAACACUUACUGUUCCUGAGCAUGGGAGGGAAUAGAAGUUCCUGGGUCCUGGCCUCACCUCAUCAGGCACUGCCAAAUUUGACACCUCCUUCCUGUUCACGGCAGUCCUUUGCGAUAGGGUAUUAGAUGCCACCAAGUAGCUGCAUAACUCACCCAUUUGGUCAGAGCCUGGGUCUAAGCCAGGUCUGACAGACUCCAAAGCAAGCCCUGUUUACAGCAUGACUGGGAUCCAGUGGACGAGGGAACUGAGCUGUCAAAACUAAGUGACUUGAUUGAGGCCAUGCAGCUGGCGAGGGGAGGACCAGGAUCUGAACCCAACUGGGUCUCCCAAGCCUGGGCCACUGAACCAUUUCACCUCUUGGAAAAACUUAAUGGUCAGAGUGGCCCACCCAGUCCAUGGACAGCAUGGAGGUAAUGAACUUUAAUCAGAAACUUAUUGUGCAUUGACUGAGCAUUUAUUCUUUUAAGACAAUAUGUUUGGAUGUCUUUGGUUGUACAGAAUUCAAAUUAUUAAUAAUGUUCACAAAAGUUGCCCUGUAUUUUUAUGCUGAAAUACAACAAAAUGUCAACUUGG
rnacentral:lncRNA from 1 species